AUCGGCGCGCAUGCGCCGACCCGCCCGGACGGCCCUGAGGAGGCGGAUGGGAGAGGGGGCGGGGAGCCACCCGGAGCGCCGCCGGAACAGCCAAUGGGAGGGCGGCGGCGGCUUCGCCCCGCCCCUAGCGCGGGGGCGGUGGCCGUUGGGCACGCCUCAACGGCCGGGGUGGUCACGUGGCCUCGGCGCCUCAGGGGGCGCGGGGGGAGGAGCCGUGCCCGCUUGUCAGGGCCAUGGCUGCGGGUCAGGCGUGUGGAGUACCUCAGUAACGUUACAGUGUUCUGUGGCCCGCCUUCGGCACCGCAAAAUCAGCAGCCUGCUCGUUACCCUCAGACUCAGUGCUUUCUCAGGCAGCCAACGGAACUUAUGGGGAGUCAUAAUUAGUAUAUUAGCAGUACACACAAAGCAGCGUGGUCAGACGGUACUGGGCAUCUCUCCUGUGUGUCCCCUCUGUGGGGUGAGUAGAUUGAAUCUUUGUUCACGUCCUUGCUUCCCUACUGACUGAUGAAAAUUCUUGCCCUUACAUCAUGACAUUGCUUCAAUACACCGUGGCAUGGUAAUGUUUAAUCACAGCUGUGGAAUUUCUAAACGUGCUAAGAAAGGUCCAGAGAUGACAUACUAGAGAGUAAGAAUGAUGGAUACUUGUUUGUAGCCCUUCCUGAAAAAAUCCCAGAGUGCAUACUAAACUUAACAAACCAAUUACAAACUAUUAUAUUGAAGGAAUUACAUCACUCAUCAUUGAAAUGCAGCUACCUCAGGGAGAAGGCAGAAAAUAUUUUAAUAGUGUACAGAAGUAUUUCAACACUUCAGGAGAGAAAAUGAAUAAUACCAUAAUCAACUGAGCAGAAAGAGAAGGUUUAGGCUUUUGAUUACCAGAUGAAGGAGUGACUUUAGUGGGGGAGGAGGUCUCUGGUCCCACCUUCUGCCCUGAGCUGACCCAGCUCUGGAAGCAGACCAGGCUGCUCAGGGUGUUCACCAGGCCGGUCUUGAAACCCUCUGAAGAUGGAGCCUGGACAACCUCACUGGCAACCCGCUCCACUACCUGACUCUCCUCAGGGAAAAGUAAAAGGAUAAGACAAAAAAAAUGACAGAAGGAAGAAACUAAUAUAUAUUGUGGGAAGGAGCCUGAAGAUUAGCUUCUUUCUGGCUGAAAGAGCCUGAUCUGCAGUCAAAAUAGUCUUUUUGUGUGUUCUUCAACUGCCACCUAUAUCGUUAAUAAAUCAGAAUGUGCCAGGAGAGAGGCAUUUAGGCACAUUUGAUCUCCUAGGGUACCUUUGUUGCCUAAAGACAAGGCCUGGCAACAUCUGCUUUUUGGAGACUUAUUUCCAGAAAGCAUGGGGAAAGUUUGCACUCCUGAAGCAGGACACUGAGGCCAACAGCAGAGCUGAUGGCUGCAUCCUACCUAAUCGAGGGGAAUUUAAAGACUUCUAAGCCCACCAGAUGUGCACAGACAUACAAAUUAGAUGAGUAUCUAUAAAGAUGAUACAGAAAAUGAUACAGAAAUGGCAGUGUUAAUUUAUAUGCUAGGCUACCAUAAAUGCAAAUGUGAAUAGUAGUUGUACAUCAAAAUUGCCAUUACUUUUUUCACCUAAAGGGUGUAGUGCACAUCUUGAAGUAAAUGUUCCCUAAAUUAUAGACACUCUGUAGUUAUCUAUAAUACCCUCACUUUACAAAGAACAGUUUUUUGAAACAUCACUUUCAAAACUCUAAUAAAUUUAAACAGAUGUUCAAUCAAACAAAAGUUUUGAGAGAUGUUAAUAAGCUCUAUGAGAUAAAAUUAGGGAUGGGAAACAAAGCCUGUAAAUGGAUACAUAAACAAGCUCACUAUUUAAUAGGUCUAUAACAAUUGCACAUCGAAGAAGAGCGUUAUAAAUCCCUUCUGCCUGUCAUAGCUCAGUACGUACGUUAAAGAAGCCAAGACUAAUCAAACUCUGAAAGAUGGGCCGGUGGUCUGAUUACCUAAUUCACCUGACUAUAAUUAAUUUUUCUAAAAUAUCCUAGACAUUACAGUUAAAACUAUCAAAUAAAAAUCCACUUGGCCACAUUUUUUUCAUUUACAGCUUAAAAUAACAAUACUGACCUUGGUGUGAGGUAAAUUCUUGAGAUUAAUGACCAGCUUGGGUUAAUGAUCCUUGGCUGUUCUGCUGACCUUCAUCUCCUCCCAGCCAGUCAUUAAUUCUCAGGAAAUUUACUGCACCUUGAUUGUUAUUACUUACAUAGCCCACAUGUAAACCUCAGGAACUGUGAGUGAAGUACCACUUACAUAUUUGCCAUGGAACUCUUACAGCAGAAAAGAAAGCAAAAACAGCUUCCAAACUUCUAAGAAGCAGAAUGACAAAGCAUAUGACUUUGGUCAAAGUUAAUAAGAACCUUGCAUUCAUUGUGUGCUGUUUUCUCUGUAUGAGUCCUGGAGCAAUUAUUGAAAAAUACUAGUGUAGCAUUUGGCAUCGACUGUUUAGUUCAGGCAUUUUUAAAACAGCUAUCAAGUUUGUAUUUAGAGGCUAAUGUAGUUCUUCAAAGUACCAUUCAUUCUUCUUUCACUGGAAAUAGUGCAAACCAGAACGAUGCAUUUAUAAGCGUAUAAAAUGAGUAAGAAGGAUUUCAGGUAUUUGCUCCUCACUUAUUUUUCCCUGUCCACCUGUCACAUAGUUAACACCUGCACUUAGCUACAGUUUAUAGAUGGAGGUUUUGAGGCAGAGAGAAGAUAUGAUUUGCCUAAGACCUUACAAAUAUCCCCAUAUGGAGUUAUAAUUGGAAGAUUAGAUUUUUUCUAGUUAAUGCUGAAGCAAGUGUUCAUUCCUGAUGACCAUUUUGCCCUUUCUCUCUGUGCUAAGGAUUGUGUUCCUGAUGACAGCAUGAAAAACUGAGAUGCCUUUCCUAGCAUGAAGGACAUCAGAGUUCCAGGUUUAGUAACAAACAGGAAGAAAAAAAAAGUGAUACAACAUUCCUUUCUAGAGCUUCUUGAAUGGGCGGUUCUGGAAAACAAGGAAACAAGCAAAACCCAAAACCAUUGCAGCUGAACUUGAAGACAUAAAUACUUCAUGAUGUCAAAAGCCUUCCCCUUAGAUUUGGAUCUAGCUAUGCUUCCUUUUCCCCCAAGAAAUGAACCCACUGCUCCUGCGGUGGAGGUGACACAGCCAAGCCCAGUGGUGUCACAAGCCUGAUGACUGUGCCCAGGAAGCCCGAGCACGGCCCCUGCCACUGCAUCCUUCUGCUGCUGGCACAGAGAUAUAGUUGGGAAAGAAGUGAAGUAGCCCCAGGCUGUGUGCCUCCUGCUGAAACAGCUUGUAAAUAGAUACCUGUGUGCAAUGCAGUGUGGCAGGUAAGGAUAAACAUGAAAUUUAUCCUGCUGCUAAUGCCACAGUAAGAAGUCAUGCCUGGGGAGGGAGGCUUGUUCUCCAUCUACAAGCAUCUCUGUGGCAGGAAAAGCAGGAAAAAAACAAAUUCCACAGUCAUCAGCUGGCUGUGAACGCAUGUAUCUGGUAGCAGUCAGGGGCCAGGUGUGGUAUGGGCCACUGCAGCUGGGAUAGUUAUGGGCUCCCUGCAGGCCUUUUGAAGCUGGCUACUCUGCACUGGGAGCCAAUGAGGCAGCCAUUGGAAUAGGAAAAACAACAACAACAAACACCUGUGUUCUUAACCCUUAGGUAUUACUGGUAUGUUUGUAAAUGGUUUUGCAAAGGAGACAGAAUCUUAUUCAAUUUGUAAUUGCAUAUCAACUUACAUUAUCUUCCAUUCUUUUUGCCUUUCUCGUUUCAUUUGUCUACCUAACUAGGCCCUGCAUUGCUUACCAGCAGUGUUCUGGCUAAAGAAAACUGGAUGAGAAGAUGUGGAGAACAGUGGUACUUUAACCAGCUAGAAAGAUAACCUUUGAAAGACAUUUUUUUCCCCCAUAAGCAAUUGAUUUCAAUGUCUUCCCAGCACUCCUAGGUCUGCCAGUCUGAAAACAAAACAAAAAACCAAAGCUAGGAGUAGAAAUAAACCAGCUACUAAAUGUUUUAUUUCCACUGUAGUUUCUGGCUCUGUGCAGAUGUGGACUUAGCAAGCAAAGGAGUGGUUUUCCCAAGAGAAGCAAAAGCAUCAAAAUGCAGUUACUUUAUAAGGACUGUUGUUACAGCAAAAAUAUUUUUUAAUGAGAAGGAGAAGUCUUAUUUCUUCACACACUAUAUAUAACUUUAUAAACCCUUCCUUUGAACUAUUUGCAUGCAACAUAAGCUGCAUCCAAAGUUAACAUUUUAUUAAAAGUUUCCCUUCCAUGUUUUCAUAAUACACAACUUAAAACCAUAUGACUUUUCUCAAGGUCUAGGAGAACUUUACUGAGAUAAAAUGAGAAGAACUUCAGAAGUUAGUCAAAAGUCUGAUUUUAGUGCAGAUGUAGUUCCUUGUAAUGGACUGGAAGAAAGAAGGGAAAAGAUCAAGAACUGACAGAGUUUAUUUCUGCAGGCCCUGUGACCUGAUGAGGUAAGGACAAAAAUCUUCCAUCAGUGGCAAGAUGUUCAGAAAAAGAGAUGGAUUCUACUAAGGAUGUGUUUUCUGAGGACAGCAGUGGAUGCUGGUGGGUCAGCUAUGUGGCAGCUGGUUGCCGUAACAAGGGAUGAGAGGCUGAAGAUCUGCAGGAGUCAGACAGCCUGGCUGCUGGAAAAAGGAGGAGUGAGUGGAUGAAUGAAGGAAGGAAUAGACAAAUAGAUACACUCCAUCUCAAAUAAACUGCAGCACCAUUACAGUAUACCAAACAGCUUGAUGCACAUACUGGAUUACCAGCUAAAAUGCAGAUUUUCUUUCAGGGAGACUGAAAUAACUUACUUAAGAAAACAUGCAAGUAGCAAACCUUAGUUGUCUCAUCUGUUCCAUAACAUAAAGAGAAAUGUUUUUUCUCCAUAUCUUUUUUUUGACCUUAUGACAUUUCACUAACAUAAAGUUUAUCUAAAAAUUCUUUUUAUUUUCAAAUAUUUUUUUGAUGUCACACUGAGAUUGUAAUAUGAAUAACAUUUUCAGAAAUGUCAGUGAUACAGACAAUAAACAUUAGUGACUUCUCUAAAAGUCAAAAUUAUGCAUGACUUGUCACCUUUUCAAUGCUUUUCCAUCUCUGUCCCAAUAUCCCAUAUCUGAAGCAAACGUACUCAAAUAUUUGGUCAUUAAUUAAUAGCAGCUAGCUUGAAAAGACUUCUAGAAAUGAAGAGCUAUUUAGACAAGCAGACGAUGUACUAUAUACUUUUGGUUUCACAACAAAGAUUUCUUUCUUUCCUCCUUGCAGAAAAGGAAUAUGUGAAUGAAGAGCUUUGGUUACUAAAUACAUGCAACAUAGAUACAUUUAUUACUGGCAGAAGUAGCUCAGUGCCAACUGACAUUUUCCAAAGUCCUUACUUACAAAGUCUUACUUAAAGGACUGUUUUGUGUAAUUAUGCAUUAAUGGCAGCAAUUUGAUGAUGUUUAUUAAAAGUACAUUAAAGGAAGAAGAUGCAGAAGAUAGAAUAACUGUGGUUUUAAUAGACUAAAAAACAAACAAUCCAAUAUAUUUUCCCACGAGAAAAUACAGUAAAUGAUCAUGCAAUUA